CCUACGGGAGGCAGCAGUGAGGAAUAUUGGUCAAUGGGCGCAGGCCUGAACCAGCCAAGUCGCGUGAGGGAAGACUGCCCUAUGGGUUGUAAAUCUCUUUUAUAAGGGAAGAAUAAUGACUACGUGUAGUCAGAUGCCCGUACCUUAUGAAUAAGCAUCGGCUAACUCCGUGCCAGCAGCCGCGGUAAUACGGAGGAUGCGAGCGUUAUCCGUAUUUAUUGGGUUUAAAGGGUGUGUAGGGGGUAUUUUAAGUUAGUGGUAAAAUGGCGGGGCUUCAACUUGUUUGGCCAUGAAAACUGGAGUACUAGAGUACAGAAGAGGUAGGUGGAAUAAGUUAAGUAGCGGUGAAAUGCUUAGAUAUAAGAUAGAACCCCGAUAGCGAAGGCAGCUUACCAGACUGUUACUGACGCUGAAGCACGAGAGCGUGGGUAGCGAACAGGAUUAGAUACCCCUGUAGCC
rnacentral:rRNA from 1 species